rnacentral:rRNA from 1 species
GCGAGUCGAGAGGGUUAGACCCUCGGCGAACGGCUCAAUAACACGUGGAUAAUCUGCCCUCAGGACGGGGAUAACCCCGGGAAACUGGGGAUAAUACCUGAUAAGUGGAUAUGUCUGGAAUGGCUUUCCGCUAAAAUGCUCCGGCGCCUGAGGAUGGGCCUGCGGCCGAUUAGGUUGUUGGCGGUGUAAUGGACCACCAAGCCUGCGAUCGGUACGGGCGUUGAGAGACGUAGCCCGGAGAUGGGGACUGAGACACGGCCCCAGGCCCUACGGGGCGCAGCAGGCGCGAAAACUCCGCAAUACACGAAAGUGUGACGGGGGGACCCCAAGUGCUCUCGCGCAAGCGAGUGCUUUUGUGAAGUGUAAAUAGCUUCAUGAAUAAGAGCUGGGUAAGACCGGUGCCAGCCGCCGCGGUAACACCGGCAGCUCGAGUGGUGAUCACUAUUAUUGGGCCUAAAGCGUCCGUAGCCGGUUUGAUAAGUCCUUGGGCAAAUCCUGCCGCUUAACGGUAGGAAUUCUGAGGAUACUGUCAGACUUGAGGCCGAGAGAGGUCGGAGGUACUUCUGGGGGUAGCGGUGAAAUGCUAUAAUCCCUGGGGGACCACCAGUGGCGAAGGCGCUCAACGAGAACGGACCUGACGGUGAGGGACGAAGGCUAGGGGAGCGAACCGGAUUAGAUACCCGGGUAGUCCUAGCUGUAAAGUAUGCUGG